rnacentral:lncRNA from 1 species
GUCUAGGUCAGUGCACCUACUUUCGCAAUGAGCAAGCCCACGUGUUACUUUUAGACAACAAGUGAAGCACCUUCCCCGAAGGGUACAAGGUUGACUUUUCGCUUCAACCGCUAUAAGUACGGCCGACGUUCUUGUCCCCCUUCUUGUUCUUCUUCUUCAUCCCCUAAAGGGUUGUCUUCUUUAGGGUUGUCUUCUUUAGGGUUGUCUUCUUUAGGGUUGUCUUCUUUAGUGUUGUCUUCUUUAGUGUUGUCUUCUUUAGGGUUGUCUUCUUUAGGGUUGUCUUCUUUAGGGUUGUCUUCUUUAGGGUUGUCUUCUUUGGUUCAUCCCCUAAAGUUCCCCUUUAGGGGAAGAACUAAAGGGGAUGAACCAAAGUCUUCCCCUUCGUUUUCUUCCCCUUUAGGGGAAGAAGGGGAACCAAAGUCUCUUCUUCUUCCCCUUUAGGGGAAGAAGUGUUACCCUUCGGGGAGACGCAGGGGUUCCCCUAAAGGGGAAGAACACACCCCAAAGUCUCUUCUUCGUUUUCUUCGUCUUCUUUAGUUCCCCUAAAGGGGAUGAACCAAAGUCUCUUCUUCUUCCCCUUUAGGGGACUCCGUCUUCUUUAGUUCCCCUAAAGGGGAUGAAGAAGUUCCCCUUCGGGGAGGAACACCCCUUUGGUUCAUCCCCUUUAGGGGAACUAAAGAAGACGAACUANAGAAGUUCCCCUUUAGGGGAAGAACACCAAAGGGGAAGAACCGAAGGGGAACACACCCCCCCUUCGUCUU